CUGUGCUGAGUUUUUCGAAGGUCAGAGCAGAUUGAACCUUUGUGCUUUCAUUUUUCCUGAUUUUGAUUUUUCUUAUGGGGAUCCACUUUUCCUGCAUUCGAGGUGACUUGAAGAAGCCUUCCAAAAAGCGUGUGAAAAGGGAGCCCUACUCUACUACCAUGAAAUUUUGAGAAGAUACAGCCUGUACACCAACCAGCAUUGGAGGCAUCAUGGCUUCUGGAGAAAGAAGAUACAGCCACAAGAAGCCUCUGAGGAGCCUCCAGCUCACAAGGACAGAGGAGGUGGAGAGAGGCCAGUCAACGCGAGGGUGGUGCGGGUGGCCCCUCUGAGGCCUGGUUUUGCUCUUUGUGGGUACGCUGUACAAGACAUCUCUAAAGAAGACACUGUAUAUGACAUCUGUAAUGAGGAUGCUGUAGACAUCUCUGAUGAGGACACUGUAGAUAUCUCUAAUGAGGCUUCUGUACAUGACAUCUCUAAUGAGGCUGCUGUAUGUGACAUCUCUAACGAUGCCGUAAACAUCUCUAAUGAGGCUGCUGUACGUGACAUCUCUAAUGACGCUGUAGACAUCUGUAAUGAGGCUGCUGUACAUGACAUCUCUAAUGAGGACACUAUAGAAGACAUUUCUUAUGAGGACACUGUAUACGACAUCACUAAUGAGGAUGCUGUACGAUACCUCUGUAAAAAAGAUGCUACCAAGGAGCCAUUGACACUGGAGAAUGAUUUGAUUGUGGAGAGCAUGUCUGAUGACGAGGAUUUUGCAGCUUAAAGGGAGCUCCCGGGGUGAGUGAUGGAGGCGGGAUCGGACCCUGGCAGUUUGACGGCAACACCUGUGUUCCUCUGCACUGGGCCGUGGAUGACAUUACACACCUUGGUGAGAAUCAGGAAUUGAGGCUAAUCACAUCUGAAAUUGAGGGCUUAUGAUUUCUUCUCGGGUUUGAAACAUGCCCCCAGAUGAGCAAGACGGGGCUGCCACAUUGACGGAGCAGCUGCGGGACACACCCAAGAAACCUCCUGGAGAACACAGGGGACAUUCACGGCUGGAGGCUUCAUCUAUGGCCGGGGGCUUCAUCCAUGAGCUGGGGACUUCAUCCAUGGGCUGGGGACUUCAUCCAUGACUGGGGACCUCAUCCACGUCUGGAGACUUCAUCCGCGACUGGGGGCUUCAUCCAUGGGCUGGGGGAUUCAUCCACGGGCUGGGGGCUUCAUCCAUCACUGGGGGCUUCAUCCACGGGCUGGGGGCUUCAUCCAUGACUGGGGGCUUCAUCCACGGGCUGGGGGCUUCAUCCAUGGGCUGGGGGCUUCAUCCAUGACUGGGGGCUUCAUCCACGGGCUGGGGGCUUCAUCCAUGACUGGGGACUUCAUCCACGACUGGAGACUUCAUCCAUAGGCUGGGGGCUUCAUCUACAGCUGGAGACUUCAUCCACAGCAGGGGCUUCAUCCUUGGUUGGUUUGCCUGAUCUGUAUCUGAGCCACAGAUACAGAUUAUUAAACAGAUAAUAAUUUUA
rnacentral:lncRNA from 1 species